CGAUGUCUGAGCUUCUACUUUGGAAGAGAGGACCAGCUGUGCAAAGUUCACUUUUCUUCUAUCUUACAAUCUGUAAUUUUGAGGACAAUUUAGCAGGAUCUCAAGUCUACACUCAAUAACUUGAAAACAGCAAAGUCCAUUACAUUCUGGACAUAAAGAUACCCAUUAAAGAGCAUCUGUAGCCAACUCCCCCCCCCCCCCCCCCCCCACACACACACACAAAAAAUUACAAUUUACAGUUUCUUGGUUCCCUCCUACUGUUCCUGAGAUAUGAAGUUUUAUAAUUUCGUAUGAUAAUUUAGAGAGUCAGAUGGGCGGGAAGAUGAUUUUAAUACUGGGGGUGAAUAUCAGGUGAUGGGCGGGGUGAAACAGAGGGUGUGAAUUCCUGAUACACACCCCUAACUGUAUAAUCCCACCCAUCACCUGAUAGUCCCACCCAUUAUUAAUACUAAAUUCAUGCCUAUCUUAUAGAUGCCCUGAAUUGUCAGACAAACUAUAAACCCUCAUAUCUUUGAAACGGAUGGCAGCUGCAGCUUCAUCAAAAGUUUUCUUAUUUACUUACUAAAGUGCUGGCCCCCUCAACACUGCCGCCCUAGGCACAGGCCUACAGGUAGCCUAAUGGCAAACACAGGCCCGCGCAUAUGAAGGAACUGUAGAAAGUUGUGUGUUCAGGAGCACCCUAAGCUAUUUCAUAAUAAUGCAAUGUCCUUUAUUGAGGGGUUGGCCACAUGUUAAAAAGUAAGACUUUGCUCACACCACGAUUGGUGCCUCUGUGGCACAGAUACGUCAGGUAACUGACAAAAUGACAUAUCCAACGGGUAGGGACUACAGCUAGUGACUACUCUCAGGUCAUUUUUCGAGAGACUUUGGUUUGCAGCACUUUUUAAUUUGAGACAAAACUCGGAUAUGUUCAGAAAAUGACUCAAACGUAGUCACUGGCUGACUACACUCAGGUAUUUGAAACAAAUGGGGCCCAUGCCUAUCCGCUCAUGGAUACCUCGGCAUUACAUUUUGAUUUUAUCCUGAUAUAUCCAUACCUCGGAGACACAAAACGUGGUGUAAACCCCUCCUAACUGUUGGCUCUGAUCUGUUGGGGGCUGUGUUCAUACUUAUGGACUCCUAUAUGUCUGUACACCACUAACCUGAUCUAUCCGGAUCAUAGCGAUAGUGAUCGGUGAGUGUCCCAUCAUCUAGACCAGUGUAUCCAAACCAGGAUGCCUCCAGCUUUUGCAAAAUUACAACUCCCAGCAUGUCCGGACAGCCGAAGGCUGUCCGGGCAUGUUGGGAGUUGUAGUUUUGCAACAGCUGGUGGCAUGCUGGCUGGGAAACACUGAUCUAGAAUCCCAACAAUCAAUACUUUUGACAUGUAAAAAAGUAUUGACACGCCCCCCUCAAUGUAUCUCCCAUAGAGCUGUAUGGAGGAGGCGUGUCGUUGACCUCAGUGAGGCGCGGUAAUACCGGAUCCCCAUACGGGAGAUCAUGGGGGGUCCUGCGGAUAGGGGAUAAGUGUCUAAGUAAAGAGAUUGAGCUGCCAUAUCACCGUCCCAAGGACAAGAACGGCUCUGUUUCUGAAUAUUUUUUCCUAAUUUUGGAUAACCCCUGUAGGGUGCUUUUACAUUGCUAUUUUGAUUACAUUUUUUAUGCCAUUAUUGAAGCCAAAGAAAAGAAAAACUUCUGUCUUGUUUUGAAAAUGUACCUCUUACGCUAUGGUCACAUGUCAGAAUUUUUGUGCGGAAUCCACAUUGGAAUUUCGCAGCAGCAGAGUUCCAUUGUAUUCAAUGGAAUUCUGCUGCGCUGUACGAUGUUUCAGGCAUGGAAAUUCCAAUUCCAGUGUCUGCAGAAAGAAUGGACAUCCCUUUUUUCUGCGGACUCCGCACGGAAAUGCAUUGCUGUCUAUGUAACGGCGCAUUUCCGAGCGGGCUUAGCACCAGUAUAUCUGCACUGAACUUUUCCGUUAGGACAUACUGACAUCUGAACAUAGCCUAAUGCUGGCAUCAAGAACUGUAUAAAAAAAAAUGCAUCAAAAUUGCAAUUGUGAAAGCAACCUUAAAAUCUGGUGGAAGUUUUUUAUUUUUAUUUUAAUCUUAUGAAAACAUAUUCUUAGAUAUCAAUCCAUUUGCAUGCUUGCAUUAAAAGGGGUUUCCGUGGGGGGG